UCCAGGCUUCUGUCCUGUGGCCUACAGAGGAACAGCUCUGUGUCCAAGGGAGUUGGGUUCUAGGGCUCAGGUCUCAGGCAGCCAAAGGACUACGUUCCUUUUCAGCUCCCAGAAAUCUGUGCGAAAGAAACCCAGAUAAGAUGGGACAGGGGACAUGACACAGGACCCGGGACCAAGGUGAAGUAAAGCCACAACAAAAACUACAAAGGCAGCAGCAACAACAACAAACAAAACAGAAAUAAAAACCUCAAGAGAGGGGCUAGGGUGUGGCCCGGUUGGCAGCCUGAAGGAGGCUAUGGGUUUGAAUCUACCAGCACAGAGAACCCAACUGACAUGGUGCUUGGCUGCCACACCAGCACUCUGCGGGGGAGGCAAUCAGAGGAUCAGUCAUUCUAAGCUACAGCAGGAGUUCGAGGCCACCUGGAGCUACAUGAGACCCUACCCCCAAAAUAAAUAAGUAGAAGACAGGUAA